CCAAACAUGUUGGUUAAAACCCCUCCUUUACUA
rnacentral:tRNA from 1 species